rnacentral:rRNA from 1 species
UACGUAGGGCGCAAGCGUUAUCCGGAAUUAUUGGGCGUAAAGAGCUCGUAGGCGGUUUGUCGCGUCUGCCGUGAAAGUCCGGGGCUCAACUCCGGAUCUGCGGUGGGUACGGGCAGACUAGAGUGAUGUAGGGGAGACUGGAAUUCCUGGUGUAGCGGUGAAAUGCGCAGAUAUCAGGAGGAACACCGAUGGCGAAGGCAGGUCUCUGGGCAUUAACUGACGCUGGGGAGCGAAAGCAUGGGGAGCGAACAGG